CCUACGGGAGGCAGCAGUGAGGAAUAUUGGUCAAUGGACGAGAGUCUGAACCAGCCAAGUCGCGUGAAGGAUGACUGCCCUACGGGUUGUAAACUUCUUUUAUAUGGGAAUAAAAUGUUCCACGUGUGGGAUUUUGUAUGUACCAUAUGAAUAAGGAUCGGCUAACUCCGUGCCAGCAGCCGCGGUAAUACGGAGGAUCCGAGCGUUAUCCGGAUUUAUUGGGUUUAAAGGGUGCGUAGGUGGAUUGUUAAGUCAGUUGUGAAAGUUUGCGGCUCAACCGUAGAAUUGCAGUUGAAACUGGCAGUCUUGAGUACGGUAGAGGUAGGCGGAAUGCGUGGUGUAGCGGUGAAAUGCUUAGAUAUCACGAAGAACUCCGAUUGCGAAGGCAGCUCACUGGACUGCAACUGACGCUGAGGCUCGAAAGUGUGGGUAUCGAACAGGAUUAGAUACCCGAGUAGUC
rnacentral:rRNA from 1 species